ACGGCUCAGUAACGCGUAUGUCAACCUACCCUAUGGACGGGGAUAACCUCGGGAAACUGAGAAUAAUACCCGAUAGAACAUUAUACCUGGAAUGGUUUAUGUUUCAAAUAAUUUAUUGCCGUAGGGUGGGACUGCGGCCUAUCAGUUUGUUGGUGAGGUAAUGGCCCACCAAGACUAUUACAGGUACGGGCUCUGAGAGGAGUAGCCCGGAGAUGGGUACUGAGACACGGACCCAGGCCCUAUGGGGCGCAGCAGGCGAGAAAACUUUGCAAUGUGCGAAAGCACGACAAGGUUAAUCCGAGUGGUUUCUGCUAAAGGAACCUUUUGUCAGUCCUAGAAACACUGUUGAAUAAGGGGUGGGCAAGUUCUGGUGUCAGCCGCCGCGGUAAAACCAGCACCUCAAGUAGUCAGGAUGAUUAUUGAGCCUAAAGCAUCCGUAGCCUGCUUUGUAAGUUUUCGGUUAAAUCCAUACGCUCAACGUAUGGGCUGCCGGGAAUACUGCAAANCUAUGGAGUGGGAGAGGUANACGGUACUCUGUAGGAAGGGUAAAAUCCUUUGAUCUAUUGAUGACCACCUGUGGCGAA
rnacentral:rRNA from 1 species